AGGCCGUCCCCACGCACGAAUGAAUCGGUUUCUCCGCAUAGCCGCCGCACAUCCCGCUCGUAGACGGGUAGCUUGGUGCGCCGUUUAGAUCAUCCCCACGCGGCGACCCCGAUCCAGAAGAGAAGCGGCAGUCCGCGACCUUGUUGUCACUCCUCCGCCAAGGUUCCGGCCGGUCGUGGCGCAUCCAAUCCGCGUGCCGGCCGGCCCUGUACGCCAUCAUCGGGAACUUCGUCGCCAAGGCGUGGAACGGCUCCGGCCUCUUCCCUGACCCCUGCGGCCAGACCGCCAUCCAGGAAUUAAUCAAUCCCCAGCUCAGUUCCUGCUCUACAUUUUCAUGUUUUGGGAUUCAGUAUAAAUCGUUGCUCACAAGGAUUGCUUGCACGUCUAAUUAAUGGAACUGCUGCUCUACACCAUACGUCGGAUACCCUACUGCCUUAGUCAUUGCCGCCGGCGACCUUCCCGCACACUAAAGGAUGAUGGAAACAGUCCCGAUUGUGUGGGCAUAUGCAUAUGGUUCGUGUACAUAACAGUCUGAACCGGCCUUGCCAUCGAUCUAAUCUACAACUUUUGUAUCAUGCGCUGUUAGUGCAGGGCCUUGUUUCAACGGCGGCAUUUUGAGGUCAUGUACAUAUGAAGAUUGGAAAUAGUGUUGGUGAUGUGGAAACUGAUCUGAAUGGGAUGUAUUUGGGAUCAUACCAGGUUUCCCUGCUACUAUCUCUACAGAGAUGGGCGAGCGACGCCGCAGUUUCUUGUUCUUGCAGAUGCAUUAUUGGAUCAUUUCUUCUGACUAUAGCGGAUGCCUAAUCUUACGGUUAUAUGAGCAGCAUUGUUCUGAUGAACUAGGCCGUGUGGUUUUCCAUCCAUGUAGCUUGAUUGUAUUCUUCAAAUGUGGCAGAGUAACGAGUUGCAUUUUUUGUGGGUUUGUGUGUGUGUGUAUUGGGGGUUGUAUUGCUCGCCUUGUGGUUUACAGAAAUUUAGACGGGUGCAUGACCUUGUUGGGCGUUGUAUUGCUGGGGCUCCUGAAGAUUGAUA